GAUGAACGCUGGCGGCGUGCUUAACACAUGCAAGUCGAACGAAGCAUUUAAGACAGAUUCCUUCGGUUUGAAGUCUUUUAUGACUGAGUGGCGGACGGGUGAGUAACGCGUGGGUAACCUGCCUCAUACAGGGGGAUAGCAGCUGGAAACGGCUGGUAAUACCGCAUAAGCGCACAGUACCACAUGGUACAGUGUGAAAAACUCCGGUGGUAUGAGAUGGACCCGCGUCUGAUUAGCUAGUUGGCGGGGUAACGGCCCACCAAGGCGACGAUCAGUAGCCGACCUGAGAGGGUGACCGGCCACAUUGGGACUGAGACACGGCCCAGACUCCUACGGGAGGCAGCAGUGGGGAAUAUUGCACAAUGGAGGAAACUCUGAUGCAGCGACGCCGCGUGAGUGAAGAAGUAGUUCGCUAUGUAAAGCUCUAUCAGCAGGGAAGAUAGUGACGGGACCUGACUAAGAAGCGCCGGCUAAAUACGU
rnacentral:rRNA from 1 species